rnacentral:rRNA from 1 species
GUGCCAGCCGCCGCGGUAAUACGGAGGGGGCUAGCGUUAUUCGGAAUUACUGGGCGUAAAGCGCACGUAGGCGGAUUAGAAAGUCAGAGGUGAAAUCCCAGGGCUCAACCUUGGAACUGCCUUUGAAACUCCUAGUCUUGAGGUCGAGAGAGGUGAGUGGAAUUCCGAGUGUAGAGGUGAAAUUCGUAGAUAUUCGGAGGAACACCAGUGGCGAAGGCGGCUCACUGGCUCGAUACUGACGCUGAGGUGCGAAAGCGUGGGGAGCAAACAGGAUUAGAAACCCCUGUAGUCC